GAUGAACGCUGGCGGCGUGCUUAACACAUGCAAGUCGAACGAUGAAGCCCAGCUUGCUGGGCGGAUUAGUGGCGAACGGGUGAGUAACACGUGAGUAACCUGCCCUUGACUCUGGGAUAAGCCCGGGAAACUGGGUCUAAUCCCGGAUAGGACCUCCUGCCUCAUGACGGGUGCUGGAAAGCUCUUUCGGUCUUGGGUGGUCUCGCGGCCUAUCCGCUUGUUCGUGAGGUAACGGCUCACCAACGCGACGACGGCUAGCCGGCCCGAGAGGGUGACCGUCCACAAUGGGACUGAGACACGGCCCAGACCCGUACGGGAGGCAGCAGUGGGGAAUAUUGCACAAUGGGCGAAAGCCUGAUGCAGCGACGCCGCGUGAGGGAUGACGGCCUUCGGGUUGUAAACCUCUUUCAGCAGGGAAGAAGCGAAAGUGACGGUACCUGCAGAAGAAGCACCGGCUAACUACGUG
rnacentral:rRNA from 1 species